rnacentral:rRNA from 1 species
AGCGAACGCCGGCGGCAUGCUUAACACAUGCAAGUCGCACGGUCAGCAAUGGCAGUGGCGGACGGGUGAGUAACACGUAGGAAUCUGUCCUGGGGUGGGGGACAACAGCGGGAAACUGCUGCUAAUACCGCAUGAUACCUGAGGGUCAAAGGCGCAAGUCGCCUUAGGAGGAGCCUGCGUCUGAUUAGCUUGUUGGUGGGGUAAAGGCCUACCCAAGGCGACGAUCAGUAGCUGGUCUGAGAGGAUGAUCAGCCACAUUGGGACUGAGACACGGCCCAAACUCCUACGGGAGGCAGCAGUGGGGAAUAUUGGACAAUGGGCGCAAGCCUGAUCCAGCAAUGCCGCGUGGGUGAAGAAGGUCUUCGGAUUGUAAAGCCCUUUUGGCGGGGACGAUGAUGACGGUACCCGCAGAAUAAGCUCCGGCUAACUUCGUG